UUCCUACGGGGGGCAGCAGUGGGGAAUAUUGGACAAUGGGCGCAAGCCUGAUCCAGCCAUGCCGCGUGAGUGAUGAAGGCCCUAGGGUUGUAAAGCUCUUUCAGUGAGGAGGAUAAUGACGUUACUCGCAGAAGAAGCCCCGGCUAACUUCGUGCCAGCAGCCGCGGUAAUACGAAGGGGGCUAGCGUUGUUCGGAAUCACUGGGCGUAAAGCGCACGUAGGCGGACUUUUAAGUCAGGGGUGAAAUCCCGGGGCUCAACCGCGGAACUGCCUUUGAUACUGGAAGUCUGGAGUCCGAGAGAGGUGAGUGGAACUCCGAGUGUAGAGGUGAAAUUCGUAGAUAUUCGGAAGAACACCAGUGGCGAAGGCGGCUCACUGGCUCGGUACUGACGCUGAGGUGCGAAAGCGUGGGGAGCAAACAGGAUUAGAUACCCCGGUAGUC
rnacentral:rRNA from 1 species